GUAGGGAAUAUUGGACAAUGGGCGAAAGCCUGAUCCAGCCAUGCCGCGUGAUAGAUGAAGGCCCUCUGGGUUGUAAAUAUCUUUUAUCUGGGAAGAAACUCCUCUAUUCUUAGAGGCCUGACGGUACCAGAGGAAUAAGCACCGGCUAACUCCGUGCCAGCAGCCGCGGUAAUACGGAGGGUGCAAGCGUUAUCCGGAUUCACUGGGUUUAAAGGGUGCGUAGGCGGGUUGAUAAGUCAGUGGUGAAAGCUCCGGGCUUAACUUGGAAACUGCCAUUGAUACUGUCAAUCUUGAAUGUCGUAGAGGUAAGCGGAAUGUUGCAUGUAGCGGUGAAAUGCUUAGAUAUGUUACAGAACACCAAUUGCGAAGGCAGCUUACUAUGCGAUAAUUGACGCUGAGGCACGAAAGCGUGGGGAGCAAACAGGAUUAGAAACCCUUGUAGUCC
rnacentral:rRNA from 1 species